UGACGUUAGCGACAGAAGAAGCACCGGCUAACUCCGUGCCAGCAGCCGCGGUAAUACGGAGGGUGCGAGCGUUAAUCGGAAUUACUGGGCGUAAAGCGCAUGCAGGUGGUUUGUUAAGUCAGAUGUGAAAGCCCGGGGCUCAACCUCGGAAUAGCAUUUGAAACUGGCAGACUAGAGUACUGUAGAGGGGGGUAGAAUUUCAGGUGUAGCGGUGAAAUGCGUAGAGAUCUGAAGGAAUACCGGUGGCGAAGGCGGCCCCCUGGACAGAUACUGACACUCAGAUGCGAAAGCGUGGGGAGCAAACAGGAUUAGAUACCCUGGUAGUCCACGCCGUAAACGAUGUCUACUUGGAGGUUGUGGCCUUGAGCCGUGGCUUUCGGAGCUAACGCGUUAAGUAGACCGCCUGGGGAGUACGGUCGCAAGAUUAAAACUCAAAUGAAUUGACGGGGGCCCGCACAAGCGGUGGAGCAUGUGGUUUAAUUCGAUGCAACGCGAAGAACCUUACCUACUCUUGACAUCCAGAGAACUUUCCAGAGAUGGAUUGGUGCCUUCGGGAACUCUGAGACAGGUGCUGCAUGGCUGUCGUCAGCUCGUGUUGUGAAAUGUUGGGUUAAGUCCCGCAACGAGCGCAACCCUUAUCCUUGUUUGCCAGCGAGUAAUGUCGGGAACUCCAGGGAGACUGCCGGUGAUAAACCGGAGGAAGGUGGGGACGACGUCAAGUCAUCAUGGCCCUUACGAGUAGGGCUACACACGUGCUACAAUGGCGCAUACAGAGGGCAGCAAGCUAGCGAUAGUGAGCGAAUCCCAAAAAGUGCGUCGUAGUCCGGAUUGGAGUCUGCAACUCGACUCCAUGAAGUCGGAAUCGCUAGUAAUCGUGGAUCAGAAUGCCACGGUGAAUACGUUCCCGGGCCUUGUACACACCGCCCGUCACACCAUGGGAGUGGGCUGCAAAAGAAGUAGGUAGUUUAACCUUCGGGAGGACGCUUACCACUUUGUGGUUCAUGACUGGGGUGAAGUCGUAACAAGGUAGCGCUAGGGGAACCUGGCGCUGGAUCACCU
rnacentral:rRNA from 1 species